GACGAAGGAUGCAAGCGUUAUCCGGAUUCAUUGGGUUUAAAGGGAGCGUAGGUGGCCUUAUAAGUCAGUGGUGAAAUCUCUCAGCUUAACUGAGAAAUUGCCAUUGAUACUGUAGGGCUUGAGUACAGAUGCCGUUGGUGGAAUAUGACAUGUAGUGGUGAAAUACAUAGAGAUGUCAUAGAACACCGAUUGCGAAGGCAGCUGACGAAACUGUAACUGACACUGAGGCUCGAAAGUGCGGGGAUCAAACAGG
rnacentral:rRNA from 1 species